UACGAAGGGGGCUAGCGUUGUUCGGAAUCACUGGGCGUAAAGCGCACGCAGGCGGAUUGAUAAGUCAGGGGUGAAAUCCCGGAGCUCAACUUCGGAAUUGCCUUUGAUACUGUCUGUCUUGAGUCCGGGAGAGGUGAGUGGAAUUCCUAGUGUAGAGGUGUAAUUCGUAGAUAUUAGGAAGAACACCAGUGGCGAAGGCGGCUCACUGGCCCGGUACUGACGCUCAUGUGCGAAAGCGUGGGGAGCAAACAGG
rnacentral:rRNA from 1 species